rnacentral:rRNA from 1 species
UACGUAGGGUGCGAGCGUUAAUCGGAAUUACUGGGCGUAAAGCGUGCGCAGGCGGUUAUUUAAGUCAGGUGUGAAAGCCCUGGGCUUAACCUAGGAAUUGCGCUUGAGACUGGAUAGCUUGGAGUGCGGCAGAGGGAGGUGGAAUUCCACGUGUAGCAGUGAAAUGCGUAGAGAUGUGGAGGAACACCGAUGGCGAAGGCAGCCUCCUGGGCCAGCACUGACGCUCAUGCACGAAAAGCGUGGGGAGCAAACAGG